UACGGAGGGUGCAAGCGUUGUUCGGAAUCAUUGGGCGUAAAGAGCGUGUAGGCGGUCAGGUAAGUCAGAUGUGAAAGCCCUGGGCUCAACCCAGGAAGUGCAUUUGAAACUACCUAACUUGAGUACGGGAGAGGAAGGGGGAAUUCCCGGUGUAGAGGUGAAAUUCGUAGAUAUCGGGAGGAAUACCGGUGGCGAAGGCGCCCUUCUGGACUGAUACUGACGCUGAGACGCGAAAGCGUGGGGAGCAAACAGG
rnacentral:rRNA from 1 species